AGAGUUUGAUCCUGGCUCAGGAUGAACGCUAGCGGCAGGCUUAACACAUGCAAGUCGAGGGGCAGCAUAAUGGAUAGCAAUAUCUAUGGUGGCGACCGGCGCACGGGUGCGUAACGCGUAUGCAACCUACCUUUAACAGGGGGAUAACACUGAGAAAUUGGUACUAAUACCCCAUAACAUCAUGAAAGGCAUCUUUUAUGGUUGAAAAUUCCGAUGGUUAGAGAUGGGCAUGCGUUGUAUUAGCUAGUUGGUGAGGUAACGGCUCACCAAGGCGACGAUACAUAGGGGGACUGAGAGGUUAACCCCCCACACUGGUACUGAGACACGGACCAGACUCCUACGGGAGGCAGCAGUGAGGAAUAUUGGUCAAUGGACGCAAGUCUGAACCAGCCAUGCCGCGUGCAGGAUGACGGCUCUAUGAGUUGUAAACUGCUUUUGUACUAGGGUAAACUCACCUACGUGUAGGUGACUGAAAGUAUAGUACGAAUAAGGAUCGGCUAACUCCGUGCCAGCAGCCGCGGUAAUACGGAGGAUUCAAGCGUUAUCCGGAUUUAUUGGGUUUAAAGGGUGCGUAGGCGGUUUGAUAAGUUAGAGGUGAAAUGUUAGGGCUCAACCCUGAAACUGCCUCUAAUACUGUUGAGCUAGAGAGUAGUUGCGGUAGGCGGAAUGUAUGGUGUAGCGGUGAAAUGCUUAGAGAUCAUACAGAACACCGAUUGCGAAGGCAGCUUACCAAACUAUAUCUGACGUUGAGGCACGAAAGCGUGGGGAGCAAACAGGAUUAGAUACCCUGGUAGUCCACGCAGUAAACGAUGAUAACUCGCUGUCGGCGAUACACGGUCG
rnacentral:rRNA from 1 species